ensembl:lncRNA
AACAAGUAUGCAUAACUUUCUGAAUUUAGUAGUUGCAAUAUAAAAUUGGCUGCUUUAAAACUUCGGAAGAUACUAUUAUAGAGUUACUUUGUAGAUUCAAGGGUUAAAUAAGCCUAAGAUAUAAGGAAAAAAAGUAUGGUAAAUAUAAAAAAAAUCAUUUUUAAAGCAUUGUGGGUAGCUAUCUAGAAAAAUUUUGUUAAGUCUGUACAGUGAUUCUAACUAUGACCAUAUUUGUGAAACAGUUAACAUUAGGAAAUGUUUCGGUUGUUGAAAUAUGCAGAAUUGAUUAGCAGAUAUAUGAAGCUCUUUCUUUUAGUAAUGGUCAGAUGGCAUUUAGGAUUAUCUGAAGGGUGUUUGUUUUUUCUGUACAGAGAUUUUUGCAAUUUAAGAUCAUAGUAGUUUGUAUUCUUUUUGGAAAUUGUCAGAUGUUUUGUAAAUCUGGCUUAAAGAUAUGUAUGUUUUAAGCAGAGUUUAUUAAAGAUCUUUUUGAAUUUAUUCCUAAGUGAGUAUUAGGUUAAAUAAAUCCUAUGAACGACAUUUUUUAGUUCAUACAGAAUUUGCUUUUCAGACCACAAGUUUUUGUUUCUUUUAUCUAGAAACUUUUCUCGCCUACUGCAGCCAUUCUUCAUUUUCCUAAGUUUUAUGGUUAUCUAUCAUGUCACUACAGAAUUGUAAAUAAAAUUGUAUUCUGCACAGCUUAUUUUGGAGAAGUGCUACUAGACAGGUUAAUAUCUGUAAUACUAAGCAAACUGGCCAUUAGUUAACAGAAUACUAAGCCUAUAUACAUUUAGAAUAAUUCCUGUUUCAAUAUACUUUUGACUGCAGAUAAGUCAAGCAGUAAAAUGAAUAUAUUAGAGAAAAAAAUUUUAACAGCACAUUGUUGAGGAUAUUUAAGUUGCUUUUAUCUAAAUGUGAUAAAGGGAGUUCCUGUUGUGGCUCAGUGGAAACGAAUCCGACCGGGAACCAAGAGAUUGCCAGUUCGAUCCCUGGCCUCGCUCAGUGGGUUAAGGAUCUGGUGGUGCUGUGAGCUGUGGUGUAGGUCGCAGAAGUGGCUCACAUCUUGCGUUGCUGUGGUAUCGGCUGGUGACUGUAGCGCCGAUUUUACCCUAGCCUGGGAACCUCCAUAUGCUGUGGAUGUGGCCUUUAAAAGAAAAAAAAGGCAAUGAAAUAAAAUAAAUGUGAUAAAGGCUAUUAUAUACAAAACCCAACUUGAAAAUUCUAGAAAUUUUAAAUGCAUGAAGUUUCUGUUUUGUUUGUGAGAAGCUGUGUUGGUGACAUGAGCAGUUUGUGAAGAUAAAUUAUUUUGUAUUACUAAAUGAUGAGCAUAUGGAAUAUAGAGGAGUGUAUGUCUUUUAUGACAAAUUAAGGAAAAUUAUAAUUUUUUGAUACGGCAUUUGAGAAUUCAGAGUACUUAAAAAAAUCAAAAAUUGCAAAGUUUUUCAUAUUAAGAAAAUUGGGGUAGAAACAUGGUUUGAUGCAGCCUCUGCUUGAGUUAAAAGUAAUUUAAAUUGUAAGGGGAAUGAGGUUUGUAGUAGAAGGUUUUGACUAUUCAUGGCAGCAUGGAUGAUGGCAGCCUACUGCAGAGGAAGCACAUAAAGAAUCCAUGUGUUCCAGACUCCAGAUGGCCUCUGGUCACGGUAGCAUGACCCAUUUGGUCUAUAUCUGAUAGAGAACAGAUUUGAAGCUUGUCUUGGCAGAGGCUGUAGAAUAAAUGCAAGAAAUGCUUACCUUUACUUGUGUCAUUUGAUUCUGGUUUAGUUUUGGGGUGUGAAAGUACUAGUUAACUUGGAGAAGUAUACAUUUUCUGAAACAACUUUACACGGCCGUUGUAUGUGUGAUGUUAGUUAUUUUGAGUACUGUGUUUGAAACUGAAACAUUACUAAAAAUGAAAUUGGUUCUUAAGAUUAUUACAUUGGCAUUUUAAGACUAAACAGUUUAAGAAUUUUCAGUCUUUAAAUUAAUGGACAAUAACUUUUCAACAGAGUUGUAGAUUUGACUUUUUAAUUAUACUUUACUAAGUAAUGUUUUAAAAACUUAUUGCACAGGCUUUGCUUGGCAAAUAUGACUGUGUUUUAAAACUAAACUUCAAGAUGUUUUUUAAAAAGUUAAGCUUUGCCAUUUUGUUGUGCUUUAAUUUUUCUUUUUUUUUUUUUUUGAUUGGCCACAUUCACAACAUACGGAAGUUCCUGAGCCAGGGAUUGAAUCUGAGCCACGGCUUUGACUGCACCACAACUGCAGCAGUGUCAGAUCCUUUAACCCACUGCACUGGGCCAGAGAACCCACCCACACCUCUGCAGUGACCUGGGUCACUGCAGUCGGAUUCUUAACUGCAGCAGCUAAACUCCUAAAUUAUUGUUAUAGAGCGUCCUUACUUUUUGGUUUAUGGAAACCUUAAUUCUGAAUAGAGUUUUGGGGAUUUUUUUUUUUUUUUAAUGAACAUAGUCAGAUUAUAGUGAAUAAAAUUUUGAAAAACAGUAUUGCCUUUUAUUUAAAUGACAAAUAUGUGUUGAUAAUUGUAUUGAUAAUACUAACUGAAUUAUUAUCUAAUUCUUAGGUGAUUGACUAAAUUGUGAAUAUAAGACACAGACUUCGAAGCAUGUUCAUUUAUAGUUAUUUAAGAGUAAACAGGCCACUGAGAUUACUUUUGACCCUUAGUAAGAUUCUAUAUUAAUUUUAUUAUACUCUAAUUACAAAGAAAUCAUAAGUAAGAGUCCUUCUAAGAAUAGUUACCCAGCUUAGAGGAUUUGACAUGGAAAAUGGUUGUAUGGGUUCUAUUAAGUUUGUAAUCAUAAAACCUGUGUGACAGUGGGGGAGCAACUAACGUUUUGAGAAGGAAACUAU